AGGCGACCGCAGCCGUGGACU
rnacentral:miRNA from 2 species